GGAAGACAGAAGCUAUGACCCAGGGGAAGCUGCACAACUUUCUGGUCAACUUAGGAAAGGAGACUUCCAGCACCUUUGAAAUAUUUGUAUUAUACAGAAGUACCAGCAAAGCAUGUGAAGCCAAAAAGGUCGUCAGCAGUAAGGCUGGGAAACAUCCCAUCUUCACAUCUCGAGAGCCAACACCAGUCACGGCUCCAGGCUGGAUAGAUGAAUGGUCUGAAGUCUUAAUAAGUGCCUUUACUUUUUGAGGGCCAUUGAAGGCCAGUGGCAUAGCACAUUCUCUGAUUCAUUCUCUGCUAUCUCCACUUCAGAUGAUAACAGGGAGCGCAAAGUCUUCUGCAUGGAGAACCAAUUGGAAUAAAGCAUACCUGCCCAAGUGGAACAAUAUUCAAGGACAGAAUCACAUGACUGGAAACUCCAUAAUUCAAAAUGACCAUCUUUGUUAGUCAAUGCAGUAAGAAAGAACUAUAUUAAGAAUUUUUGGAUUCUGUAAAUGUUCAGUUAAAGAAUGAAUGUAAAAAGAUUAAAGACUGACUAUUCAAUGGCUCAAACUAUCAUAUUUCGGACAUAUUAUGCGAAAACCCAGCUCCCUUGAGAAUUCCAUAAUGAUGGGAAAAGUUGAAGGAAAGAGAAAAAGAGGACGACCAACAGCAAGGUGGAUAUACGAUUAUGACAGCCAUUAAUGCACCACUGAGAGACCUUAAAGGCCAAGUUGAAGACAGUUCAUCGUGGCUGUCAAAUUGAUGCCGACUUGACGGCACUUUAUCAAUCAAUCAAUCAAUCAAUUCAAUGGCAGGCUCAGCAUUAUACCAAAGAUACAAGCUACAAGGCUGUGUGCUGUUUCCCUCCACUCCUGUCCACACUCCACAAUAAUCAGGAAUCACAAGAAGUGCAAUGCAUAAUUAAGGUUCAGAUAACGUUUUGCAGUUUAACUUGCAUUUCUGUAGUUUCUCAGACUUGAGUUUUGAAACAAAGCUGACCAGAUACCUUUAAUUCCUGAAAAGGAGGCUUUUACUAAUGUUAAUGUGCACAGGCAUGGCCAAGAGCUGUUAUUUUAGGUUGCGGGGAAAGGAGGAGUGUGUGUAUAAUCUCAGCUAUGUUGAAUGUGUGCAGUUCUCGAGCCAAAGCACAAAUUAAUGCUGAGAUCAUAUAAAAGGAAAUAAAAAAGAUCUGCCUUGAGAUCAAAUACAGCAUUUGUAUAGAACUGUAUUCAAAACGGAUACAAAUGCAUCAGUUCCUUCAGAAUUAUAGGUGAAUCAAAGGAAAAAUUAUAUCCAAGAAGAUAAAGCGGGCAACCAGCAGCCUAACCAUGCAAGAGGCAGAGAUGCAUCUUUGAAGAUUCUCCUAUGGCCUCCUAAAGAGCCAGAUGUUGCUGGUAGAACAAUGUCCUCUCAGCCUUAGCAUAUGGUUCCCAGCGUUCUGAUUCAUAGGAAAAGGGGAGAUGUGGAAGGCCAUCAUUUCAUGCAUUCAUUUAAGAGCAAGGUAUUUGAAGAAUUUGAACAAAAAAAGGGAGGGAAGCUUUGAAUGAGUACUUUUUUGAGGAGAGGGAGGAGAUAUUGUAGAUGUGAACAGGAAACCUCAAACAAAUGAACAUGAAGUCCCUUUUGCUGCUUUUCUAAAUGCCCCAAGCACAGAACUAAUUUGGGUGGCUAGUUCCCUUUAUGUGCUGGAUCAAGCCUUUUAGCCUGGAAAUCUUCCAUUUCCCAAACUUUUGAGCUUUUUUCUUUUUCUUUUUUUGAUAAGUAAUCACAUGUCAGAAUGGCUUGGAAAUGGGAAUGGCCUGAAUAGUCUACAAUUGCCCAAGUGGUCUGGAACUGUAUCUUUAUUUGUUUAUAUAGCAUCAUUUGUUUGCAUAGUGCAUUACAUAGAGUGAGAAGAUAGAUCCCUGCCUCAAAGGCCUCACUAUGUAGCGGCAACACAAGUAGACAAUAGAAGAGGGGGAGGGAAGUAGAUUUAGGAAAAGACUGCAGAAUAAUUGGCAACAGUGCAUGAGAUGUGGUUCAGUGUUCUCUGGAAGUGCAUUGACCACAUUCUCGUCUCACAUACCCAAUUUUCUUCUGGGCUGAGUUAAGGAAAAUUGAUCUUGUAGUUUUGCAGCAGCUGCUGACUGCACUGAUUGGCUGGUGCUUGUGAUGUCACAGUUUGGGCCCGGGAUACCUGAGGGACCGCCUGCUCCCAAGGGUUACUGCCCGCUUGACGAGGUCAUCUGAGGGGGCUCUGCUCUGCGUACCGACAAUGAGGGAGGCUCGGUUGUCGUGCACGCGGGACAGGGCCUUCUCUGUUGCUGCCCCCAGACUCUGGAAUGCUCUCCCGGUGGCUAUUCGCUCCUCGGUCUCCAUCACAGUUUUUAGAAAGAGUGUAAAAUCUUGGCUUUUUGUGAUUCUCUGCUGCUGCUCUUUAUACUCUGUAUUGCUUUUAUGCUUUUGUUUUAAAUUUUUAAUCAGAUUUGUUUAAUAUUUUUCACUUAAGACUUUGUGUCUUUUUUACCAUCUUGUGUUUAAAUUUUUGCUGUAAACUGCCUUGGGAUUGUUUUAAUGAAAGGCGGUAUAUAAAUUUAACAAUAAAUAGAUAAAUAAAUCCUC